AGAGUUUGAUCAUGGCUCAGAACGAACGUUGGCGGCGUGGAUUAGGCAUGCAAGUCGAACGAAUCCCAUCUGGUAUAACUGGAUGGGGGAAGUGGCGAAAGGGGCAGUAAGGCAUGGGUAACUUGCCUCGGGGACUGGGAUAGCCCUCCUAACGGAAGGGUAAUACCGGGCGCCGUACGCGGGAGGCAUCUUCUGUGUACGAAAUGAAUUUCGCCCCGAGAGAGGCUCAUGUAGUAUUAGCUAGUUGGUGAGGUAACGGCUCACCAAGGCCAAGAUGCUUAGCGGGUGUGAGAGCACGACCCGCGCCACUGGCACUGUGACACUGGCCAGACUCCUACGGGAGGCUGCAGUCGAGGAUCUUCGGCAAUGGGCGCAAGCCUGACCGAGCGACGCCGCGUGUGCGAUGAAGGCCUUC
rnacentral:rRNA from 1 species